AGCGGGACAAAGUGACGGCGCAAGAUGGCGUCGGAGCGGCCACAAGAUGGCGUCGUUGCCUUUCGGCGGGGACGCGCGGCCAUGUUGGCACUCGCCGCAGCCGCUCUGCCUCGCGGCCCCGUCCAGCAUGACUGUCACAGAAAGAAAAAGUACUGCUGAGGAGGCUGAUAGCCAUCAGGAGCAAGGAAGGAGAUGCUGAUUCACCGAUGGAGUGAUGUUCUCCCAGGCAGGAAAGGAUUAAAUAGAGACAACAGACUCAAAGGUACUGUUCCUCAAGCUCAAGCUCUUCCGAUCCUGUCUGCCCAUCUGCCAGCAUCCGUAACCUUUCUGUACAGUUGUAAUUGUACAGCUGUAAAGUGGACAAGUGACCAGAGGUUAUGCAGAAGAUAAACAACAAACACUCACUGAUGUUGAAGCUCACAGUAAGGACAGAUGCUCAACAAUAUCAAGGCUCCCUGCAAAACUUCACAUGGAAGCAACAUCUCCAAUAUCAAGUAAGCCC
rnacentral:lncRNA from 1 species